GACGAAGGGGGCUAGCGUUAUCCGGAAUUACUGGGCGUAAAGCGUGCGCAGGCGGUGAUGUAAGACAGGUGCGAAAUCCCCGGGCUUAACCUGGGAACUGCAUUUGUGACUGCAUCGCUGGAGUGCGGCAGAGGGGGAUGGAAUUCCGCGUGUAGCAGUGAAAUGCGUAGAUAUGCGGAGGAACACCGAUGGCGAAGGCAAUCCCCUGGGCCUGCACUGACGCUCAUGCACGAAAGCGUGGGGAGCAAACAGG
rnacentral:rRNA from 1 species